CAGAGCCAAGACACGAAAGAAAUGGAUUCUUGGGCUGCAGAGUCAGCCAGCCUUGAGACAGGAACAAAACAGUAACCAUCACUCAUGGGACCUGCCUGACUGGAGCUCAUCAGUGAACCCAAGCAAAGCUGAUGAAGUCCCACCACCACCAUGCAGGAGGCUGAGCCUUCCAAGAGUGUGGCUGCUGCUUUCCAGGCUGAGGAGGUUCUCCAGCUACCUGCAUUUUCAGAAACUUCCAGACUGAGGAACACUCCAGGGGUAACAAAGGAGGGACAGCAUGGACUGCUCAUCACUCCUGGCUGCAUCUGCAUCCCUGCCCCGGUGCCAGAGGGGAACCCUUCCUCCAGAGAACCCAGGAGGGUCCCUGCAAACCUCCUGCCUUCAGCUGGGACAACACGAGAUGGAGCAGGAGCUGUGUCUUGGUGUCUGCCAGAAAGGAGGCCCUGCUGAGCUGCUCACUGAAUAGCUCAGCCUGCUCAACUGCAGUUUGUUUGAGCUCAUAUUUUCUGUUAAAAAUGCCUGAUUGGUUCCCUAAAAUAACAAAAUAUUGUUCUCAUUUGUGAAGGCCAAGACUGCUUAAGCAGAGG